CAGGGCCGCGGGAAGCCAGAACUCCGGAAGCAAACUCGGAUUGGCGGCCCGAGCCACCGCCCCGGAAGUUUUUAGAGGCUGCGGAAGCCUCGAGCCUCCUCCGUAGGAAGUUUCCGAGAAAGCGGAAGUUGCGGAGUUUCGCUGCCAGUAACCCGGAGGAGGGAGGAGGGGAUAGGCCCGCUUUGCUCUCCAGUUUUCGCGACUGUUCCUCCUCCGGGUCCUUUUCGCCGCUUCCUCGCUUCCCGCCCGCUCUCCCUUCUCUCGCGGUGGGCAAAGCGAAGACUCCUUUGAAAUACAAGCAUAGUCUUGGGGAACCGCCUGAACUUCAUGAAAUAUUUCUUACUUUGCCGUUGCACCCCUGCCUCUACACUCGAGUCAAACGGGGCAAGAACACCACCUCUGUGCCCCGGGCACAAGCCGUGCUCCAACCUACACCUCGCCCCGUGCCUGCUCGUGGAAUAUCCCGCUUGCUCCAAGCUUUGGCGCCGCCUGCCAGAGAAAGCCGAGCCGUUUCAGAUUCCCUUAUCGGUGUCCCUGGUGUUUUCCUGCAGGAGAAGGCUAAGCCCCUCGUGGUUCUUGCGUUCCUAAUCUCCAGGGUCUGUCAGUUUCUCCAUUUUAGCACGUUCGUUGUGAGCAGCCCAGCUAAACUUCCUUGAAAUUCUCUUGUGUUUUCCCUCUCGGGUUGAAAUUAACAGCGCCGUUAUUAAUGUGAAAAUUAAAAAUCCUUGACCACACCAGCUGAUACUGACCCGGCCUUGCUCUUGGCUUCUAUGCACUUAUGCACCACAUUUAACACGGAAAGAUAGACAUCCUUAACUAAGAACUGAGGUAAUAUUUAUCAGAAACAAAGAUUGGUGCAUGUUUUUUCCCCCACUCCACAAUUACACAUCUCAAGCAACCCAUAUAUCUUACUAGCUUUUUCCUGACCAGUUAUUGUUUCCAUAUUCCUUUGGUUGAAUACAUUAGAGGAAGGGGAGACACUUUUUUCUAAAUUCAAGGACUUGUACCAGUUCACUCUUCCCCUCCCAAUUUGGAAAGUCCCUAAUCUUUCCUUCAAUUAGAAAUCGGCUUACCUAACUUUAUAUUCUCAUUGUUCUCUUUUAGCCUUACUUGAUAAAUUGGUUUUUAAUGCACAUGUCUCCUUCAGGGUCCAGUGCCAAAGCUGAGGAGGCCCGGGCCUUGUUUGUUAAGCAAUUGUCAUAUAUUGCUUAAUAAAUCAAUAUGCUAAAAAGCUUCAAUCUUUGUUUUUAUCAGUUAUUUUAUCCUUUACCCACCAUAGUAUAUAAUUUUAUAAUGGCUCUAAUACAAUUGAAACAUUGCUACUAUUGCCUUGGCACAAUGCCUCACAUUUUUUAACUGCAACAGCUACUUACUAUGUAUUACUACAGAUAAGUAACACUUCAAGUCAGGCUUUGUGAGCUGAGCAGCUUUGGGGAUCUGAUGUAUAAGUAACUUCAGAUAAAGCAGCUGUAAAAUGCUUCUUGUUCCAAGCACUGUAUAAACACUAGGAAUUUUAAAAAUUAACCAUAUGUGGUAAUAGUAUCUGACCUAUUAGUCAAUGUAGCUUUCAACCAGUAGACACACUUAUUCCAGUUUCCCUACAGAAUUUGAGAAUAAGUCAUCCCUUUAACUUUGUGUAACUGGAAGCACUUUGAAAGCCAAGGAAGUCAUAUAUUCAGUGCCAAAUAGUUUUAUUUGCCUUAAUGUGCAAGAAGCAGGACCUUGUUCAGUUAUGUCAGAGAAGGCAAGGGGAGGUACAUUUAGGCUCAAAAUUUAAAAAUAAAAUCUAACAAUGAACUGGGCUACCUUGAUUUAUUGAGCUAAGUACUUGUGUAUCAAUUGAAUGACGAGGUGAAGGUGCAUGUAGGAGAAGAUUCUGGUAUUGGGCUGGAGUACUAAAUGACCUUUCAUACCUUUCUCUUCAUACUUCAAGAUUCUAUAAAAAAUAAAUCAGGUGGUAGGCUCAGAAACACUUAAUAGUUUUGCCUUAAGAAUAUGUCAUAUUGGUCUACCCAACUUACUAUUUCUUUUUUUUUCCCUUGUACCUUCCAGCUUUGUUUUUAUGACUCUAUGGUAUAGGAGGAUCAUAAUGGUUUUUUUGCACAUCUCAUUUAAACCAGGAGAGAGUAAGUAUCACAGAAGACGAGGAGAAAAACUAGUAUUCUGGAGGAAGCAAUGACCAAUAGUCUAAAAACCUGGGAGAAUGAGGCAAAAAAAAAAAAAAUAUUGGAUUUAACUGAUAAAAUAUCAUUAGUCAAUUCUGAAAAAAGUUUUGGUAAGGUAGUAGAAGUAUAAGCCAUAUUGAAAUUGUUAAAAAGUCAAAGUUCACAGAGAAGUAGAUGCCAUGAGAGUUGAUAACUCAAGGAAUCUUGGCAAGAAAUGAAAAGAAAGAAGGCUUUGGGGAAGGGAUGAGACUGAAUAUGCGGGAGAAUAAGGGAAUGGUGACUAGGAUAAACACCAAGAAAUGAUUACAGAGAAUUGGUCAAUUGUAAGCAUAGGAGUUGAUCUUGACAAGGAGAAAGGGCAUUUCUUGCUCAGAAAAUGAUCAAAGGAGAAGAGAAGAGAUAAAGAUGUUAAAAAUUUUUGAGGUAUGGAGUAGAGAGAAUAAGUAAAUUCAUAACAGCAAAACAUCACUUUACAAUUUUGUGAAUAAUUCUGAGCAAAGAUUUGAGAAUAACAGUUGAGAGGAAGGAUGA
ensembl:lncRNA